UUACAGGUCCGCGCAUGCGCGUCGGUUACCACUAUUAAUACGUCUAUGGAUACAAGUAUGAUCCUGUAUCGAUAUUAUUGUACGGUUUACGUAGUUUUAAAAGUUUUCUAUCUGUUUCACAAUGGUGCGAUGUUGUUUUUGUAAUAGUAUUUUAACAAAAGGAUGUAGACGGACAUUUCACAGGUUUCCUUUAUCAGAUAAAUUUAUGUUAGAGCAGUGGCUCAAGCAAAUACCAAUGAAACAUUGGACACCAAAUAAGGAUAGCCUCCUAUGUUCAGAUCAUUUUACAGAAAAUUGUUUUGACAAAUCUGCAUUUCAAGUACGCUUAAAAUCUGAUAGUGUCCCAACACGUCUUGGAGAUCCACAAACAGCUUGUAUAAUCUGUAAGCGGAAACGUUCACAUGAAUCGAUGCACUCAUUUUUCAAGUUUCCUUUAGAUAAACCUGUACUUCUCAAUAGAUGGCUGGAAAAUUGAAUUUGUUAAAUUGGACACCUACUCAGUUAAGCUGCUUGUGUUCAAGCCAUUUUGAAGUAUCCUGUCUAAGGAAAGUAAAAAAUAAAUACUGGUUUUUAAAGGAAAAUAGUAUCCCAACGAUAUUAAAUCCCAGUGAUUGUGAUCCACUGUAUCAAAAUAUUGAAUUCGAAAAAUCUAUGGAAAAUACUCUGCAUUUAAAUGAAAACAAGUCCACAUCAAAUUUUGUAACAAAUAAUAUUUCGCAUAAUGUACCGUUAAUAAAUGUAGUUAUUACUGAAGAUGCAAAGAAGGAAAAUCUUCAGAGUUACGAAGAAGGAGCAGUGGAGCAAUGUAACAAUUCUGAUCCAUUUCCAAUAUCUAUGCAGUUCGAUCUAUCAUCUCCAGUUUCCAAAUUACGACGAACCGUACACCACGAUCACAAAUAUCAGAGCUCUCCUACAAUAAUACGUCGUCGACUAUUCGAUUGUGAACAACGUUUAAAAGAAAAAGAAAAAAAGAUCAAGUUACAGAAACGAAAAAUCAAUCGACUACAAAAAAAAGUAUAAUCUUUUCGAGAAAUGAUAGACGAGCUUCGUAGUGCUCGUAAAGUUUCUGAAAAUUGUUUACAUUGUUUAGAAUCAAUAGUCGAUCCAGGUGUUAAAGAAUUUUUACAACGUGUUAUUGAGAAUGGUGAGUCAAACUCUGUCUCAAGAAGGCAGUACCCACCUGCUCUGCGUAGUUUCGCACUAACGCUAUUCUUCUAUUCACCAAAAGCUUACAAUUAUGUACGUGACAAAAUGUAUAUACAGGGUGUCCCAUUUUAAAUGCCGCAGGCAAAAAUCUCAAAAAAUAUGGGACAUACGGAAAAAUGUUUCGAACAAAAGUUGCAUGGUUUGAAGGGGGCCACAUGAUGAAAAUAUGUACUUGACCUUGAGUGACCUUUUCAAGGCCAGGUCAAUGUGAUGGAUGUUUUCUUAAAUGGGACCCCCCCUUUUUAUUGUAUAUUCUUGUAGCUUAGUUUGAGAACUUUCCAAAACACUACCUACUUUUGUUUUUUGCCCAAGCAGUUCCCAAGAUAUGAAGCGUCAAAGUUGACAUACCGCCGGUAUUCGCAUUACCCGAUGUACACCGCGGGGAGGUUGCUCGGUCGGAUUUGUACAUCAUAGUGGCUCUAAAAAGGGCCGAGUUAAAUAUAAAAUAUAUAAUGAGUAAAAUAUAUAAUGCAACUUAUAUAUGUAUAAUUACUUUUUGUCAGGUCACUGUGAUCCAUCACCCUCUGAGGAAUGCACGAUUCGUGUUGCACAAGGCAAUGAAAUUACCUUAUACCAUUAAAUCAAUCAAUAUUUUUGUAUUAUAUUUUUGCAUUUGUAUAGAUACAUUCGUUUGUAACUAUGGCUAUACUUAAUUUAAUUAAGGCCCGAUUGUACAAAAGGGUUUUAAUAUCUCUACAUUACUUUUUUAAUAUCAUAAAGAUUAUUACUAAACUUUUCAAUUGUAUUUCAAACGUUUUUUUGGUAAUACAAUAAAUCUUUAUGAUAUUAAUAAAGUAAUGUGGUAAUAUGAAAAACCUUUUAUACUAUUUUUACAAUAUUAUACUUUUUUAAAAAUAUUAUAUUAUUUGUUGCGAUAUUUCAAUAUGUAUUUGUGGAAAAUAAUAUUGAAUAUUUACAUUUUUACUAAAAUUCAAA